UCGAGAAUUUUUCUCAAUGGGGGAAACCCUGAAGGAGCGACGCCGCGUGGGGGAUGAAUGGCUUCGGCCCGUAAACCCCUGUCAUUUGUGAACAAAGUCCAUGGUUUAAGAGAUAAUGGAUUGAUAGUAGCGAAAGAGGAAGGGACGGCUAACUCUGUGCCAGCAGCCGCGGUAAUACAGAGGUCCCGAGCGUUGUUCGGAUUCACUGGGCGUAAAGGGUGCGUAGGUGGUGGGGUAAGUCGGAUGUGAAAGCUCGGAGCUCAACUCCGAAAUGGCAUUGGAAACUACCCUGCUGGAGGUUUGGAGGGGGGACUGGAAUACUUGGUGUAGCAGUGAAAUGCGUAGAUAUCAAGUGGAACACCAGUGGCGAAGGCGAGUCCCUGGACAAAACCUGACACUGAGGCACGAAAGCUAGGGGAGCAAACAG
rnacentral:rRNA from 1 species